rnacentral:rRNA from 1 species
GACGAACGCUGGCGGCGUGCUUAACACAUGCAAGUCGAACGGAAAGGCCCUGCUUUUGUGGGGUGCUCGAGUGGCGAACGGGUGAGUCACACGUGAGUAACCUGCCCUUGACUUUGGGAUAACUUCAGGAAACUGGGGCUAAUACCGGAUAGGAGCUCCUGCUGCAUGGUGGGGGUUGGAAAGUUUCGGCGGUUGGGGAUGGACUCGCGGCUUAUCAGCUUGUUGGUGGGGUAGUGGCUUACCAAGGCUUUGACGGGUAGCCGGCCUGAGAGGGUGACCGGCCACAUUGGGACUGGGAUACGGCCCAGACUCCUACGGGAGGCAGCAGUGGGGAAUAUUGCACAAUGGGCGGAGGCCUGAUGCAGCAACGCCGCGUGCGGGAUGACGGCCUUCGGGUUGUAAACCGCUUUCGCCUGUGACGAAGCGUGAGUGACGGUAAUGGGUAAAGAAGCACCGGCUAACUACGUG